GUGUGAUCUUGUUUACUCCAAUAUUUUCAUUACAAUUUCAUUCUCUACAAUCCGGUUUGGAAUCAACAUGUAUUAUUGGAACUUCCGCGCCCCAACAAGUGGUAUCAGAACCAGACUGUUCAUUUUCUGUGGAUUGGUUGAGAUUCUUUUGGGAUGGCGAGGUUGAAGUAUGAUAUUCCCUAAUUAGAUCGCAGUAUAAGUUUUUCUUUGUGGCAAGUAAAGAUGAUGGUUGUUCUAACGCAGUUGGAUUUGGACGAUGUGCUGCUAGGUUUUGAGAAGAUGCCAACUGAUUGGCCAACGGAGGAGAAACAAUGGAAGGAUCGGAAGGCUAUUUCAUUGAUUCAUCUUCAUCUGUCCAACAGUAUUCUACAAGAUGUCUUGAAGGAUAAAACAACGGCUACUUUGUGGUUGAGGUUGGAGUAGUUGUAUAUCACCAAGAGUCUUACAAGUAAACUGGCUUUUUAAGCAGAACCUGUAUUCCCAUCACAUGACAGAAGGAGAUUCGUUGGAAGACCAUGUUGCCGUGUUCAAGGAAAUUGUUGCAAAUCUGAAAACGUUGGAGGUUAAGUACGAUGAAGAGGAUCUUGCCUUGAUCAUGUUGUGUUCGUUGCCUAGUUCUUAUGCGUCGUUUCGAGACACCAUCUUGUAUAGCCGAGAUACUUUGACAAUAUACGAUAUCUAUGAUGCUUUGCACUCAAAGGAGAAGAUGAAACAUUUAAUUGGAGUUACAUGAAGGGAUGAGAAAGGUCUUAUAUCUCAAGGUGGUCGACGAAGAGGCAGAUCAAGAGUUAGAUUUAGCAAUGUGACUCGUUACUACUGCAAAAGGAAGGGACGUAUUCUAAAGAAUUGCGACAUGUUGCAGGCUAAAGGUGAUUUAGUUGCAAAUCGUGGAGUUGCAACCUUUGAAUUCAGAUUAAACCAAUGAAGUUGAGAAUUGUUCAGAUGGCGAAGAGGUGAUGUUGACCGUGGUAUCUGAUGUGGAAUCUAGACCUAACGAGGAGUGAAUUCUUGAUUUAGCAUGUUUGCAUCAUAUAUGUUUCGAUAGGAAUUUAUUUCAGACAUAUGAGGCUGUUUAGCAAGGUGGAGUUGUAACGGGAAAAAACCAAUCUUGCCGUAUUACUAGGAUCGGUUGAGUCAGAUUGAGGCUACGGAAUGGAACAUUUAGAACAAUUGAUCAGGUUCGAUAUGUUCCUGACUUGAAAAUGAAUCUCAUUUUACUAAGUGCCCUGGAUGCAAAAGGGUAUAAAUUUUCUGGACAAUGUGGAGUCUUGAAUAUUCGAAUGGGAGUCCAGGUUGUACUGGAGGGAUGCAGAAGAUCCCAGUUGUAUAUUGUGCAGGGAAGAGCAGAACCAGUUAAGAGGAGACAAUUGAACAAGUUUAGUAUAGUGGUGGAAGAUCAGUUUGGUAUAAUAUCUCUUGUGUUGGGCUCUGAAUUGGUUCAGAACACUGUUAGGGAAAGCGUUAGUGAUCUCGCUUUGCCACCAAUUUCAACGGGUACACUGCGUUCAGUUGCUGGGGUAGGGCUCAUCGAGCGUAGGUACGAUGGUGUCAAUAAUGUCUGGGAUGCUUCUGGGGAUGUUAAAGACGAUAGUACCAGCAAGGGGUCUUCUGAUCAAGUAUCUGGUUUGGUUCUUGCUACAGGGUGUGCUUCGGUCCUGUAUGAUCAAUAUUAAUUCCAUGGAAGAAUUGGGAACCCUGGUUUUGGGUUCAGGUGUCAGUUAUGGACGCUGGGUAUAGGACGAGUGUUUGGUUUAUAUGAAGUGGUUACCGUGUUGAGGAGAUUCAGUCAAUUAAUUUCGAUGCAGAUAGGUUUGAAAUCUAGGAGUUUCGUUCGUAGCACCGAAAUUUGAGUCAAUGUGGAGAUUGUUAGGUUUGGUGACUCCGAUGUGUUAUGAUUAUUGUUGAUUUAGAAUUUGAUCAAAUGGAAUCCUAGAAAUUGGUUAGGAGUCUUUUGAAGAUGCGUGUUAGAUUUUUACUUGGAAAUGAAAUCUAAUUGCAUACAACAAAAGAAGACAAAAUUCUGUUGAAAUUGAGUCUCCUAAUUGUAAUAUAUUUUCUUGCAUUUUAGAACUCUUCUAAGGUUAACCUAUAAAUAC
rnacentral:lncRNA from 1 species